CGAAAUGCGAUAAGUAAUGUGAAUUGCAGAAUUCAGUGAAUCAUCGAAUCUUUGAACGCACAUUGCGCCCGCCAGCAUUCUGGCGGGCAUGCCUGUUCGAGCGUCAUUUCAACCAUCGAGCCCCCGGGCUUGUGUUGGGGACCUGCGGCUGCCCGCAGGCCCUGAAAACCAGUGGCGGGCUCGCUGUCACUCCGAGCGUAGUAGUAUCACCUCGCUCAGGGCGUGCUGCGGGUUCCGGCCGUUAAACCACCCAUUCGUCCCAAGGUUGACCUCGGAUCAGGUAGGAAUACCCGCUGAACUUAAGC
rnacentral:misc_RNA from 1 species